ensembl:lncRNA
UUUUAUUUAUUUAUUUUUGAAAUAAUGCAUCAUGCCCAUUGCAACUUCAGUUAUUAGCAUGUUGAUUGGCCAUUUCUCAGGUGGUUUUAUAAGGUAAUAAUCUUUCCCCCAUUCUGGGUUGGACAGGACACAUAUGAUAACAGUGGGUCUUUCUAAAGUGAGGAUGGAAGCCAUGACAUGACAAAUACCUAGUCACACAUCUAUUGGUAAGAGCGUUGUUUUUACAGUAAAGAAAUGAAAGUUGAGUUCAAAUUCAUAAUGAUAAAAACAUGAUUACAUGAACUAUUAUGACCAAAAAACUAUAAACUAAGUAUGAACGGAACUGUACAAAAAAGUACUUAACCUAGUGUAAGCCAAUGAUAAAUAUCUGCUGUUCAAACCACCCAGAUGUUUCCAAAAAAGUUUUUGGCUUAGGUUACACGUUCAGAAUAUGAUAUGACCUUUUCACAUCAAAUAGAUGAGGGUAAUUCCAUCUCAGUUCAUCGUGUUUAAUAAAAAAAUUCCCUCCUCACAGCUUGUCAAAAUAUUGAAAAAAAGGGGGGGAAAAGUACAUUUAAUAUGAAUUGUAAAACAAAAUAAACAAAAAGAAAUAGGAAAAAAAUGGAAGGUUUCCUGGCUUUAUUAAUGUGGAAUCUUGGGAAUGUAGCUAAAGUUACUGCAGCAUGAUUGAUGGAAGUCCCUAAGAUAUUUGGAUGUUUGGUCUUUGAAGGUAGAUUUGGAUGCCUGUAGAAAUCAUAAUUUAGUAUGUGUGGGAAUAAUAUUUAAUAGACAAUUCAUGUAUGGCAGCCAAAGAUUAUAACAAAUUAUAUCAUUUCUAAAAUUCACAGAUUUUAAGAUAAAAGACCUAAAUUAUAACCAAUGAUUUUUGUUUACUAGGCAAGAAGGCUAGCUCUGAUACUAAGGCUUCAAAUAUUAAUUCUAACAAUAUGUAAAGUAUUUCCAAUAUAUAAUUUUUAAUCAGUAAUAUUUUCAUCAACAGUGCUCGGUAAUUCAGUUUAUUUAUUUUUUAAGGGAAACUAUAGUCGGUACACAAACAACUUUUUUCCCUUUCAAGAAAUCAUCGACUGAAUGCAAUCGUCAGGUGUCAUCAAAAUUCACUUGACUUCCUUCAAAUAAGUCAUCCUCUUUAAUACAUUUAUAUAUUUUUGUUUUGUGUUGUAAUAGCAGGACGUUAAAAUCUGUCCAAAUCACCCUUAA